rnacentral:rRNA from 1 species
AUGCCGAGGGCACCGCGCUGGUGUCCGCCGACUUCGGAUGCGCAGCCGGCGGCGGCGGCCGUGCUCUACCCGUCGUGCCCCGAGGACAUCGCCUCGCUGCUCCGGGCCUCGUGCAUGCACCCCUCCCCGUUCCCUGUGUCUGCCCGGGGCUGCGGCCACUCGACCCGAGGGCAGGCGUCCGCACCCCGCGGCGUCGUCGUGGACAUGCUGUCGCUCGGGUGCCAAGCCGGCGGGUCUGCUACCCACCUCUCCGUCUCGGUCGACGGCCGCUACGUCGACGCCGGCGGCGAGCAGCUGUGGGUGGACGUGCUGCGUGCUGCCCUGGCGCACGGCCUCACCCCAAGGUCCUGGACCGACUACCUCCACCUCACCGUCGGCGGGACGCUCUCCAACGCCGGCAUCAGCGGCCAGGCCUUCCGCCACGGCCCCCAGAUAUCCAACGUGCAAGAACUCGACGUGAUCACCGGGCUCGGGGAGAUUGUCACAUGCUCAAAGGAGAAGCACGCGGACCUGUUCGACGCCGUGCUGGGCGGGUUGGGGCAGUUCGGCGUCAUAACGCGGGCGCGCAUCCCGCUGAUCCCGGCGCCGGCGAGGGCGCGCUGGAUGCGGCUCUUCUACACGGGGGCCGCGGCGCUCACGGGCGACCAGGAGCGGCUCAUCGGCGUCGACCUCGGCACCGCUGUGUCCGGGUUCAUGGACUACGUCGAGGGCUCGGUGGUGCUCGCGGAUCAGGGCCAGGUCGGGAGCUGGCGCUCGUCGUUCUUCUCGGAAACCGCGCUCGCAGAGGAGGCUGGCGGCGUCCUUUACUGCCUCGAGGGAGCGCUGUACUACGGCGGCGCUGCUCUCGCCGGCGAGUCUGACGUCGACAAGAUGAAUCGGCAAUGGAUGUACGGUCCCCGACUCUCCGGCGAGUUCACUACGGGUUUGAAAGAUUUCCUCGUAGUGGCAAAUGCGAACAAGCAGCAAGGUUUUAUUAUCUGUCCAUGUGCUGUCUGUAAGAAUCAGAAGGGUUACUCCUCCUCAAGAGACGUUCACAUGCACCUGCUUCGGCACGGUUUCAUGCCAAGCUAUAAUUGUUGGACCAAGCAUGGAGAAAGAGGGGUUAGAAUGGAAGAAUAUGAAGAAGGGGAUGAUAUCGAUGACAACUAUCAUGAUCAUUUCGGUGAUACUUUCAUGGAGGAUGAUGCUGAAGGUGGGGAAGGGUUAGGUGAAGGUGAAGAAGAGGCACACGAUGAGCCCGCUGAUGAUCUUGGUCGGACCAUUGCUGAUGCACGGAGACGCUGCGAAACUGACAAGGAUAGGGAGAAUUUGGAUCGCAUGUUAGAGGAUCACAAAAAGUCGUUGUAUCCAGGAUGCGAUAAUAGUCUGAAAAAGCUGGGCUACACACUGGAUUUGCUAAAAUGGAAGGCACAGGAAGGUGUAGGUGACUCAUCAUUUGAAAAUUUGCUGAAAAUGUUGAAGAAUAUGUUUCCGAAGAAUAACGAGUUGCCCGCCAGUACGUACGAAGCAAAGAAGGUUGUCUGCCCUCUAGGUUUAGAGGUUCUGAAGAUACAUGCAUGCAUUAACGACUGCAUCCUCUACCGCGGUGAAUACGAGAAUUUGAAUGAAUGCCCUAUAUGCACUGCAUUGCGUUAUAAGAUCAGAGGCGAUGACCCUGGUGACGAUGUUGAGGGCGAGAAACCCAGGAAGAGGGUUCCCGCCAAGGUGAUGUGGUAUGCUCCUAUAAUACCACGGUUGAAACGUCUGUUCAUGAACAAAAGGCAUGCCAAGUCGUUGCGAUGGCACAAAGAGGACUGUAAGUCCGAUGGGGAGUUGAGACACCCCGCUGAUGGAACGCAAUGGAGAAAGAUCGACAGAGUGUUCAAAGAUUUUGCAGCUGACGCAAGGAACAUAAGAUUUGGUCUAAGUACUGAUGGCAUGAAUCCUUUUGGCGAGCAGAGCUCCAGCCAUAGCACCUGA